AGGGCGCACGGCGGAUGCCUAGGCGCUGAGAGGCGAGGAAGGGCGUGGCAAGCUGCGAAAAGCCUCGGGGAGCCGCAAGCAGGCGUAGAUCCGGGGAUACCCGAAUGGGGCAACCUGCCUGGAGUAAUAUCCAGGCAUCCGGCGCUGAAUCCAUAGGUGCCGGAGGCGAACCGGGGGAACUGAAACAUCUAAGUACCCCGAGGAAAAGAAAGCAAUAGCGAUUCCCUGAGUAGUGGCGAGCGAAAGGGGAGGAGCCUAAACCGCGCAGGUGUAGAAGGCCCAGGGCCGUUGCCUGUGCGGGGUAGAGGGACAGAUCUGGGCGGGGCCCUGGGACCCGCCGGGGAGUUACAAAACCCAGCCCUAGCCGAAGAGGACUGGAAGGUCCUGCCGUAGAGGGUGACAGCCCCGUAGGCGAAAGGGCUGGGUCUCCCUGGGAUCUGAUCCCGAGUACCACGGGGCACGUGGAAUCCCGUGGGAAUCAGGGAGGACCACCUCCUAAGGCUAAAUACUCCUCAGCGACCGAUAGUGCACCAGUACCGUGAGGGAAAGGUGAAAAGCACCCCGGGAGGGGAGUGAAAUAGAACCUGAAACCGUGCGCCUACAAGCAGUCGGAGGGCAAUGCCCAGAAGGGCAAGCCUGACGGCGUACUUUUUGCAGAACGGGCCGGCGAGUUACGGUAGCGUGCGAGGUUAAGGGGUAAUACCCGGAGCCGUAGCGAAAGCGAGUCCGAAGAGGGCGUUAGUACGCUGCCGUAGACCCGAAACCGGGCGAGCUACCCAUGGGCAGGGUGAAGCGGGAGUAAACUCCCGUGGAGGCCCGAACCCGUUGUCGUUGAAAAGGCAUGGGAUGACCUGUGGGUAGGGGUGAAAAGCCAAUCGAGCCCGGAGAUAGCUGGUUCUCCCCGAAAUAGCUUUAGGGCUAGCCUCAGGGAUUGCUUGACGGAGGUAGAGCACUGAUAGGGCUAGGGGCCUUACCGGGUUACCGAACCCUUUCAAACUCCGAAUGCCGUCAAGUGGACCCUGGGAGUCAGACUACGGGUGCUAAGGUCCGUAGUCGAGAGGGGAACAGCCCAGACCAGCAGCUAAGGUCCCCAAGUGCGGGCUAAGUGGAGAAGGAGGUAGGGCCGCUAAGACAACCAGGAUGUUGGCUUAGAAGCAGCCAUCAUUUAAAGAGUGCGUAAUAGCUCACUGGUCGAGCGGCUCUGCGCCGAAAAUUUAACGGGGCUCAAGCCCGCCACCGAAGCUCUGGCUCAACCCUUAUGGGGUUGGGGGUAGGGGAGCGUUCCCUCGGCGGCGAAGCCGUACCGUAAGGAGCGGUGGAGCUGAGGGAAGUGAGAAUGCCGGCAUGAGUAAGCGAGAAGGCAGGUGAGAAUCCUGCCCGCCGAAAGCCUAAGGGUUCCUGGGGAAGGCUCGUCCGCCCAGGGUUAGUCGGGACCUAAGCCGAGGCGUAGUAGCGUAGGCGAUGGGAAGCCGGUUGAAAUUCCGGCACCAGCCGUAGGCCGUUGAGGACGGGGUGACGCAGGAGGGUAGGCCCAGCGCGCGGAUGGUAGUGCGCGUCCAAGCCUGUAGGGUUGUGGGGUAGGCAAAUCCGCCCCACGCUAACCCGAGGGGUGACGGGGAGGGAAGGUUAGUACCGAACUGGGCUGACCCCAUACUGCCGAGAAAAGCCUCUAACGAGGCCUAUGGCUGCCCGUACCGCAAACCGACACAGGUAGGCGGGGAGAGAAUCCUCAGGCGCGCGAGAGAACCCUCGUCAAGGAACUCGGCAAAAUGACCCCGUAACUUCGGGAGAAGGGGUGCCUCGGUAGGGUGAAGGCCUUAACGGCUGGAGCCCGAGGGGGCCGCAGCGAAGGGGCCCAGGCGACUGUUUACCAAAAACACAGGUGCCUGCUAAAGCGAAAGCUGACGUAUAGGUGCUGACGCCUGCCCAGUGCCGGAAGGUUAAGGGGAAGGGUUAGCCGCAAGGCGAAGCCCUGAACCAAAGCCCCGGUAAACGGCGGCCGUAACUAUAACGGUCCUAAGGUAGCGAAAUUCCUUGUCGGGUAAGUUCCGACCCGCACGAAAGGCGUAACGACCUGGGCGCUGUCUCGACGAGGGGCUCGGCGAAAUUGUAGUACCCGUGAAGAUGCGGGUUACCCGCGGUGGGACAGAAAGACCCCGUGGAGCUUUACUGCAGCCUGGCAUUGGACUUUGGUGGUCCAUGUACAGGAUAGGUGGGAGGCUGAGAAGCCUGGGCGCCAGCCUGGGUGGAGCCGCCGGUGGGAUACCACCCUUGGAUUACUGGAGUUCUAACCUGGGCCCGUGAGCCGGGCUGGGGACAGUGUCAGGUGGGCAGUUUGACUGGGGCGGUCGCCUCCUAAAGGGUAACGGAGGCGCCCAAAGGUCCCCUCAGCGCGGAUGGAAAUCGCGCGUGGAGUGCAAGGGCAUAAGGGGGCUUGACUGUGAGACCGACAGGUCGAGCAGGGACGAAAGUCGGGCCUAGUGAUCCGGUGGUGCCGAGUGGAAGGGCCAUCGCUCAACGGAUAAAAGCUACCCCGGGGAUAACAGGCUGAUCCCGCCCAAGAGUCCACAUCGACGGCGGGGUUUGGCACCUCGAUGUCGGCUCAUCGCAUCCUGGGGCUGAAGUAGGUCCCAAGGGUUGGGCUGUUCGCCCAUUAA
rnacentral:rRNA from 1 species